rnacentral:rRNA from 1 species
GGGGAAUAUUGGACAAUGGGCGAAAGCCUGAUCCAGCAAUGCCGCGUGUGUGAAGAAGGUCUUCGGAUUGUAAAGCACUUUCGACGGGGACGAUGAUGACGGUACCCGUAGAAGAAGCCCCGGCUAACUUCGUGCCAGCAGCCGCGGUAAUACGAAGGGGGCUAGCGUUGCUCGGAAUGACUGGGCGUAAAGGGCGCGUAGGCGGAACAUACAGUCAGAUGUGAAAUUCCCGGGCUCAACCUGGGGGCUGCAUUUGAUACGUGUGAUCUAGAGUGAGGAAGAGGGUCGUGGAAUUCCCAGUGUAGAGGUGAAAUUCGUAGAUAUUGGGAAGAACACCGGUGGCGAAGGCGGCGACCUGGUCCUUUACUGACGCUGAGGCGCGAAAGCGUGGGGAGCAAAC